rnacentral:rRNA from 1 species
AGCGAACGCUGGCGGCAGGCCUAACACAUGCAAGUCGAACGGAUCCUUCGGGAUUAGUGGCGGACGGGUGAGUAACACGUGGGAACGUGCCCUUUGGUUCGGAACAACUCAGGGAAACUUGAGCUAAUACCGGAUGUGCCCUUCGGGGGAAAGAUUUAUCGCCAUUGGAGCGGCCCGCGUCUGAUUAGCUAGUUGGUGAGGUAAAGGCUCACCAAGGCGACGAUCAGUAGCUGGUCUGAGAGGAUGAUCAGCCACAUUGGGACUGAGACACGGGCCAAACUCCUACGGGAGGCAGCAGUGGGGAAUCUUGCGCAAUGGGCGAAAGCCUGACGCAGCCAUGCCGCGUGAAUGAUGAAGGUCUUAGGAUUGUAAAAUUCUUUCACCGGGGACGAUAAUGACGGUACCCGGAGAAGAAGCCCCGGCUAACUUCGUGCCAGCCGCCGCGGUAAUAC